rnacentral:snRNA from 1 species
AAGAAGAGAAAUAAGCGAUGAAGA